CUUGACUGUAUCCUGGAAUUGGGUUCGGGCUUUUCUUGCGCAGUCUAGGUGGGAGGCUAUGAAGAUUUCCUUCCGGGGAAGUUGGAGCCAUCAGUGAGAGACCACUCUGGAGAGGCUAGAAUCCUAAUGGUGAUCCUUGAAUCAGGACCCUUGACAGUUUCAGGUGGGCAGUUUUUCUGGGGCGGAAGCCUCAUAAAGGGUAACUGAGGCGCGCAAAGGUCCCCUCAGUCUGGACGGAAAUCAGACAACGAGUGUAAAGGCGAAAGGGGGCUUGGCUGCAAGACCUACAAGUCGAGCAGGAGCGAAAGCUGGCCUUAGUGAUCCGACGGUACCGCGUGGAAGGGCCGUCGCUCAACGAAUAAAAGUUA
rnacentral:rRNA from 1 species